UACGAAGGGGGCUAGCGUUGCUCGGAAUCACUGGGCGUAAAGGGUGCGUAGGCGGGUUUCUAAGUCAGAGGUGAAAUCCUGGAGCUCAACUCCAGAACUGCCUUCGAUACUGGCGACCUUGAGUCCGGGAGAGGUGAGUGGAACUCCGAGUGUAGAGGUGAAAUUCGUAGAUAUUCGGAAGAACACCAGUGGCGAAGGCGGCUCACUGGCCCGGUACUGACGCUGAGGUGCGAAAGCGUGGGGAGCAAACAGG
rnacentral:rRNA from 1 species